UUUGAGAAUUUCAUUGUGAAUUUCAACAUGAACAACACGAAGGUUGGGCUGCCAGAGUUGCACAACAUGCUUAAGACUUAUGAGUCUUCCACUACUAAGGUAAAAUCUGUGCUCAUGGUGAGCUCUUCUGCGAAGUCUUCCAAAGGGAAGAAUAAGUAGCAACAGAAGAAGAAAGCAUCUAAGGAUGUUGUUCUAAAGCCUAAGAGUGGAGGGGCUAAGAAGAAGUCAAAGUUAUCAAAGGAUGAGUGUCUUUUCUGUCAUGAAAAGGGACACUGGAAGAGAGACUGCCCAAAAUUCAAGGCACAAGGUGCAGAAAGUGGGAGCUCGGGGUCUAAGUGACUGCAGGAAAGUGAGGCCUGGGGAAGUUGAUUUGCGUGUUGGGAAUGGAGCAAGAGUUGCUGCCGAAUGCGUGGGGACUUACAGAUUGGAUCUUCCCUCAGGACAUAGACUAGAAUUGUUCAAUUGUUAUUUCGUUCCAGUUAUUUCUAAGAAUAUUAUUUCCAUUCCGAUGUUAGACAUUGAAGGUUUUUCCUUCCAUUUUGCAAACAGCAGAUGCUCGUUUUCUUUUAA